rnacentral:rRNA from 1 species
UACGAAGGGGGCUAGCGUUGCUCGGAAUUACUGGGCGUAAAGCGCACGUAGGCGGCUUGUUAAGUCAGGGGUGAAAUCCUGGAGCUCAACUCCAGAACUGCCUUUGAUACUGGCGAGCUUGAGUCCGGGAGAGGUGAGUGGAACUGCGAGUGUAGAGGUGAAAUUCGUAGAUAUUCGCAAGAACACCAGUGGCGAAGGCGGCUCACUGGCCCGAUACUGACGCUGAGGCACGAAAGCGUGGGGAGCAAACAGG